UACGGAGGGGGCUAGCGUUAUUCGGAAUUACUGGGCGUAAAGCGCACGUAGGCGGACCAGAAAGUUAGGGGUGAAAUCCCGGGGCUCAACCCCGGAACUGCCUCUAAAACUCCUGGUCUUGAGUUCGAGAGAGGUGAGUGGAAUUCCGAGUGUAGAGGUGAAAUUCGUAGAUAUUCGGAGGAACACCAGUGGCGAAGGCGGCUCACUGGCUCGAUACUGACGCUGAGGUGCGAAAGCGUGGGGAGCAAACAGG
rnacentral:rRNA from 1 species